rnacentral:rRNA from 1 species
CCUACGGGAGGCAGCAGUCGAGAAUCAUUCACAAUGGGGGAAACCCUGAUGGUGCGACGCCGCGUGGGGGAAUGAAGGUCUUCGGAUUGUAAACCCCUGUCAUGUGGGAGCAAAUUAAAAAGAUAGUACCACAAGAGGAAGAGACGGCUAACUCUGUGCCAGCAGCCGCGGUAAUACAGAGGUCUAAAGCGUUGUUCGGAAUCACUGGUCGUAAAGCGUGCGUAGGCUGUUUCGUAAGUCGUGUGUGAAAGGCGCGGGCUCAACCCGCGGACGGCACAUGAUACUGCGAGACUAGAGUAAGGGAGGGGGAACCGGAAUUCUCGGUGUAGCAGUGAAAUGCGUAGAUAUCGAGAGGAACACUCGUGGCGAAGGCGGGUUCCUGGACAUUAACUGACGCUGAGGCACGAAGGCCAGGGGAGCGAAAGGGAUUAGAUACCCUAGUAGUC